UACGUAGGGUCCGAGCGUUGUCCGGAGUUACUGGGCGUAAAGCGCGCGCAGGCGGCGAUGCUGGCCCGGCGUGAAAGCCCCCGGCUCAACCGGGGAGGGUCGUCGGGGACCGCACCGCUUGAGGGCGGUAGGGGCUGGUGGAAUGCCUGGUGUAGUGGUGAAAUGCGUAGAGAUCAGGCGGAACACCCGUGGCGAAGGCGGCCAGCUGGGCCGUCCCUGACGCUGAGGCGCGAAGGCGUGGGGAGCGAACGGG
rnacentral:rRNA from 1 species